rnacentral:rRNA from 1 species
CCUACGGGUGGCAGCAGUGAGGAAUAUUGGUCAAUGGACGAGAGUCUGAACCAGCCAAGUAGCGUGAAGGAUGACUGCCCUAUGGGUUGUAAACUUCUUUUAUAUGGGAAUAAAAUGUUCCACGUGUGGGAUUUUGUAUGUACCAUAUGAAUAAGGAUCGGCUAACUCCGUGCCAGCAGCCGCGGCAAUACGGAGGAUCCGAGCGUUAUCCGGAUUUAUUGGGUUUAAAGGGAGCGUAGGUGGAUUGUUAAGUCAGUUGUGAAAGUUUGCGGCUCAACCGUAAAAUUGCAGUUGAAACUGGCAGUCUUGAGUACAGUAGAGGUGGGCGGAAUUCGUGGUGUAGCGGUGAAAUGCUUAGAUAUCACGAAGAACUCCGAUUGCGAAGGCAGUUCACUGGACUGCAACUGACACUGAGGCUCGAAAGUGCGGGUAUCAAACAGGAUUAGAUACCCUAGUAGUC